GCCUCUCUGCUCCCAGCCGUUAAGAGGCCAGUGUUGAUCAGUGGCUGUCCAGGCCUUUCAGAGACACUGGUACACCGGCAGCACAAUGAUGAUGUCACUGACUCUACUGCUGGCCACCCUGGGGCUCCUUGUUCAGGGUUCAUCAGGACAAAUCAUCCUGACUCAGUCUCCUGGAUCUCAGUCUGUUGUUGCAGGACAGACUGUCUCCAUCAGAUGUAAAACCAGUACAAGUGUUAGUAGCUACCUCCACUGGUACCUUCAGAAAUCUGGAGAAGCUCCUAAACUCCUGAUUUAUUCAGCUACAACCCGUCAGUCUGGAGUUUCAGAUCGUUUUACUGGAAGUGGUUCUGGGACUGACUUCACUCUGACCAUCAGAGGAGUCGAGGAUAAAGAUUCAGGAGUUUACUACUGUCAGCAGGGUUACAGCAGGUUAACACAGUGAUACAACGUCGUACAAAAACCUCCCUCAGCUGGAGAGGAACUGAUCUGACUCAACAGCUGCACUGAAACUAAAACAACAGAAGCUUGACUAAACUAAAAUAUAUUUAAUAAUAAUUGACUUUGAACAUU